UGUUUUGUGGCUUAGUUGGUUAAAGCGCCGGUCUAGCGAAUAAGGAGUCAUGGGUUCGAAUCUCAUCAAAAUGC
rnacentral:tRNA from 1 species